UACGUAGGGUGCAAGCGUUGUCCGGAAUUAUUGGGCGUAAAGAGCUCGUAGGCGGUUUGUCGCGUCUGCUGUGAAAACCCGAGGCUCAACCUCGGGCCUGCAGUGGGUACGGGCAGACUAGAGUGUGGUAGGGGAGAUCGGAAUUCCUGGUGUAGCGGUGAAAUGCGCAGAUAUCAGGAGGAACACCGGUGGCGAAGGCGGAUCUCUGGGCCGUAACUGACGCUGAGGAGCGAAAGCGUGGGGAGCGAACAGG
rnacentral:rRNA from 1 species